rnacentral:rRNA from 1 species
CUCUUGAGAGCGGCGGACGGGUGAGUAAUGCCUAGGAAUCUGCCUGGUAGUGGGGGAUAACGUUCGGAAACGGACGCUAAUACCGCAUACGUCCUACGGGAGAAAGCAGGGGACCUUCGGGCCUUGCGCUAUCAGAUGAGCCUAGGUCGGAUUAGCUAGUUGGUGAGGUAAUGGCUCACCAAGGCGACGAUCCGUAACUGGUCUGAGAGGAUGAUCAGUCACACUGGAACUGAGACACGGUCCAGACUCCUACGGGAGGCAGCAGUGGGGAAUAUUGGACAAUGGCGAAAGCCUGAUCCAGCCAUGCCGCGUGUGUGAAGAAGGUCUUCGGAUUGCAAAGCACUUUAAGUUGGGAGGAAGGACAGUAAAUUAAUACUUUGCUGUUUUGACGUUACCGACAGAAUAAGCACCGGCUAACUCUGUGCCAGCAGCCGCGGUAAUACAGAGGGUGCAAGCGUUAAUCGGAAUUACUGGGCGUAAAGCGCGCGUAGGUGGUUUGUUAAGUUGGAUGUGAAAUCCCCGGGCUCAACCUGGGAACUGCAUUCGAAACUGACUGACUAGAGUAUGGUAGAGGG